UACAGCCAUAUCAUGUUGAAACAAUGGUUCUCAUAUGAUCACCAAUGUUAAGCAAUGUCCAGCCUGGUCAGUACCUAGAUUGGUGACUGCUUGGGAAUACCAGGUGCUGUAA